AUUUUGUUUCCUCUUUUAUUUAUUUAAUGGUAUUAUCUAAUGAACUUUGUUACUGUUUGGAAAUAUAUUUAAAUCGUGGAUGCAAAUGUAAAACAGUACUAUAUUAACAAACUUUGUGAGAAGCUGAUUUUUUUAACUGAAAAUGAAAACAUCGACAAUUAUUAAAUUGGCCUUACUUUUCAUAUUACUUGACACGAAAUCCACAAAUGCCAAAAUCAAAGGAGCAUAUCCUCUAAAAGUAAACUGCACCACUUAUAAAUGUUCGAAACUUGGAGUUAACGAUUAUUGUAUCGACGUUUGCAAACUUCAUUUUGCAGGUUACGGAUAUUGCUUUUCAUUUGCGUGUUACUGCGAAGGAUUGAAUCCGAAGUAUGCACAUUUUUAUUUAAGAUUUCAGCAAAGAGAAUAUGGUAUUGAAUAAACAUGCAUAUAUAGUGUUAAUGAACAAUGGUUAUUAAAAAUAAACCUGUAUAUAUAAUUAAAAAAAGUAAUUGUUUAU